AUCUCUUGUGGGACGAGUACGGGAGACCUAUCCCCGCCUGUUGCCACUCCUAUCCAUGGCGCUCUAGAUCUGGAAGGACAGAAAUGCGAGGGAAGUAGAUCCUGUUGCUGGUGGUUCUUCACAUUUUAGGCCUCUCUCAGUUGAUAGAAACUCAAAUUGAAUCUCUCAAAUCACAAUCUUUCAGGUCUACAGCUUCUUGCUCGUCCCAAGCUCGUUCAAUGUAAAAUUCACCAACCAGGCUCUCUCCUUCACACUCUGUUUCUUCUGAUUGGCCAAAUUCAGGAACAGAAGAAUCAGAGAAAAAGAAGGAUUUCCAUGCAUCAUAUCCUCCUUCACAAUCACCACAAACAACAAUGUAUAGUAAAGCUCCGCUGAAUGCAUUUCAUUUAAGGAGAUAUAGUAGCGGCUCUUUGUUCCAAAAAGAUUUGCGUGGAACCUCAAAAGAUAAUUUGAAGCGAGCGGCAGAAGAGAGGAUUCAUUGGGUAGUAAAGAGUAAAGAGUAUCAGCAAUGAUUGUUAAAGCUACAUCAAGGGAAAAAAAAAUCUGUUAGGACUAUUAGUAGUGGUGUGUAUACUGCAGAGGUAAUAAAAGGCUGGAGAAAUGAGUAAAACCCACAUUGAUGACCAGGCUGGAAAAGGAUCUAAUGAAGCAAAAGCAGUAAAUGUAGGAAAAAUGAAAUGAAAAGAGAAGGACUUGAUAACAUUUCAUUUUUUUUUCUGAUAACAUGUCAAUGAGUAUCAGCAAGAAGUAAAAUCUUGAUACUCAAGGACUUGAUAACAUGUCAAUUGGUAUCAGCAAGAAGAAAAAUCUUGAUACUCACUGUGAUGUGCAUUGCCAACAUAUGUAAAAUAUCAGAAGAGAAAAAAGGAAGAAUGUAUGGGGAGUGUUGCCGUGGACUCUGAAAAAGACUCGGAAAGUGAGACCAACAGUGCUCCGGUGGGUGAUGCUGACGCAGGGCAUGACCCUAAUGAGGUUGAUAAGAAGGCUGGUGAGUUCAUAGCCAAGUUGACGGAGCAGAUUGAACUUCAGAAAGUGGCAUCUAUUAAAAGAACAAGAAGGAUGCGAAUGAGUGAUAAGCACUAAAGGUGAAGCAUAAACUUUUACUGCUCUAACAAGUAACGGUAUGAAGAUUGAAGGUGGACUCCCUCCCAUUUCUUUUUAAGAUUUAAUGUUCCAUCUCUACUUGUAUUAGAGGUGAAAUUGUAGUGAAUGAGUGAAUUAGGGAAAGACAUGUGCAUCGAGGAACCGAAGGAUGGGGAAGUGGGGAGGUGAGAAGCGUUGAGGACACAUCGCGAGAUGAUAUGGAUGGUUCUUGCAGUAGAUGCAAAACGGGUUUUGGUAGGAGCAGGGGCUCGUUAUGUUUUUUGCUCAACUCUCUUGUGUUCCGAGGAACAAGAUUCAAUCAGAGUUUUGGUGGUGGGAUAGGGUUCAUGAGGUAUACCCUUUUUCCCCCUUCUUUAUUGCUUGUUUCUUGCUUUUAUAAAAUGCAGUAGAGUUUGUGAUUGCAGUUUCAGAAUGUAGUGGAACCACAGUUCGCAACGGAUCCUAAUCCUAAUCUUACUAGCUGUGCAAUUCCACUGUGUAACUGUAAACGUGAGAAACCUCAUGUUAUGUGGUUAUCUUACAAGUUUAUGUAUGUACUUUUGAAACAGUGAGCUUUUGAUAUAUUCUCUUGUUAAUUGAUGCAAGGUGUGUGAAACAUUUUUUGUUUCACAAUUUCUCCAACACUUAAUUCUUCGCUCUCGCCCUCUGUUUUCUUUCUUUCUUUAUGUUCAUAUUGUUAGGUUCCUGUUGUGAAUGCUGAAGUUUCAAUACUCACAACAAAUAUGUUUCGGUACAACUUUAUGUGAUGUAUUUACAAUGGAUAAGGAGAAAUGUGAUGUAUUUAUAUUAGACUAGGACAUAUGAUACAUAAAGGACAUUGAGUUGCAUAGGUACAUCGUCUGAGGCAAUUACAACAGCUUCUACAUAUGUUCCCUUCAUGAAAAUGCAUCCCAUGGAAAGAUGAACAUAAGUUCACUGUAAGGCUGGUAGGGGGCGCAGUACAACCAUUUUUCUCUGCUAACUUGCAGGUGCAACACAGGCACAUGACACGCAAUGCUGCAUGUAUGAAUAUGCAAGGUCAAUCAGGCCAAGAGUUCUUUUGGCUUCAUCCCAGUGGCAGGAAUACUUCAUUUGACCUUGCACUUUUCUUUUGAACAACAUGUGUUGGAAUUCCUAUUAUGAAGUCAAGAUUGAUGCUUGAAGGUCAUAAACCAGUAGUUUGUAAAUGUGCUGACCAUAUCAGCAGCGAGUUUUCACUUCUGCAUGACUUCAAAUAUUGCUCAAUACACCUCUCUCUCUCUAUGUUGUAUCAAUGAUAUAAUAAUCAUUACAUAGUUUAAAUAAACGAGUUUAAUUGGUGGAAGAGAUGGAAAUCCUUUUCCUGUUAGGAGUGGUUUCUUCUCUGUUUUGAAUUUCAAUUGAAGUUUAUUGAUUUAACUGACAUGGAAUUCUAAUGUAAAAGGGGAUAUGAUGCCAAUUUUUUCAAAUGUCUGUUUUCAUUACUUUUAGGAUAGAAUGGAGUUGUUAAGGUACACAUUAUUUUUGCUUUAGUUUUAUUGUUAAGGUACACCAAUUUCUUUCAGAACCACAUUAGCCUUACCUAACUGCUGUUUCUUAAUCUGAUUACAAUCACGCCAUUUAAGUCCAUAUCAAGUGUUCUGUCCGCCCACAAAACAAAGCCUGCAACUCAGUCAUGCCAUUGAAGCACUCUCCAGCAAUAUAGGAAAUCUCUUUGUUUUUCAGCACAAUCAUCUCUGACAAGUCUGGCUCCUGCUUUCCUAAAAUACCUUUUUUUACUUUGCCAUCAACACCUUAAGUUAAUUAACCCUCUUCCAGAUAGGACCAAGCACAAAUUUUGAGACUUAAAGCAUCUCUAGCAAAUUGGGUUAUGAAUGGCAUUGAGUUUGCUGAGACCAAUAAAUAGGACAUCGGUGGUAUUUCCAUGAAGCUUUCGCCUAAUUCUUGAACUUGUUCUGUGGUAAUCAUGAUUCAUGAAAUACAGUUCAAGAUGGAUACAAUGUUUAGAUGUUCUAUCUCUGAAGGAGACAAAGAGGACACAGCACUGACAGCAGCCUCUGAUGAUAACACAUUUUUGGUGGUAACAGAAUCAGAUCUUGAUGGAUACAAUGUUGGUUGUGAAACUGGUGUUGUGGAUAACAAGAUGCUGUGAAGACUUAGCCUGGAUUGCUGGGAUCAAUUUGCCAGUGAGGCAGCUAUUUCCAGACUUUCAUGCCUGUGGCUUGGGUGCCAUGCAAACCAGAAACGCUCUAGGAAAAGACUUGGAAGCUCGCUCAGGGCUAAUCAAUUGAGAAGUGCAGCUGUUGACUUCCAAGUUAUUUGAGACAUCAAAAUCUGCUGGGAGUUUUACUCCUGGAGUUUUAUUUUGUUUUUCUUCCCUUUUUUUGUCAACACAGGAAAAGUGAAUAUUUUAUGAGAAUGGUUUCUUUUUUUCCUCCUCGCAGAGAUUUUUGCUGGUUUGGAGAGGGUAUCAGUAGGGCUAUGAAGGAGAUUGUAGUAUCCCUUCGUCGUUGUGAUGAUGUAUAGAUGCUUACAAUGAAGCAGCAAAGAAAAGGCUGUUGUUUUAGAAGGCAACAAUUCCAAGAUUGUACAUCC